rnacentral:rRNA from 1 species
UACAGAGGUCUCAAGCGUUGUUCGGAUUCAUUGGGCGUAAAGGGUGCGUACGCGGCGCGGUAAGUCGGGUGUGAAAUCUUGGAGCUUAACUCCGAAACUGCAUUCGAUACUGCCGUGCUUGAGGACUGGAGAGGAGACUGGAAUUUACGGUGUAGCGGUGAAAUGCGUAGAUAUCGUAAGGAAGACCAGUGGCGAAGGCGGGUCUCUGGACAGUUCCUGACGCUGAGGCACGAAGGCCAGGGGAGCAAACGGG